rnacentral:rRNA from 1 species
GUAGGUGGCAAGCGUUGUCCGGAAUUAUUGGGCGUAAAGCGCGCGCAGGCGGUUCUUUAAGUCUGAUGUGAAAGCCCACGGGCUCAACCGUGGAGGGUCAUUGGAAACUGGAGAACUUGAGUACAGAAGAGGAAAGCGGAAUUCCACGUGUAGCGGUGAAAUGCGUAGAGAUGUGGAGGAACACCAGUGGCGAAGGCGGCUUUCUGGUCUGUAACUGACGCUGAGGCGCGAAAGCGUGGGGAGCAAACAGGAUUAGAUACCCUGGUAGUCCACGCCGUAAACGAUGAGUGCUAAGUGUUAGGGGGUUUCCGCCCCUUAGUGCCGCAGCUAACGCAUUAAGCACUCCGCCUGGGGAGUACGGCCGCAAAGGCUG